rnacentral:rRNA from 1 species
GAUCAUGGCUCAGGAUGAACGCUGACGGCGUGCUUAACACAUGCAAGUCGAACGAAGCACUUUAUUUGAUUUCCUUCGGGACUGAUUAUUUUGUGACUGAGUGGCGGACGGGUGAGUAACGCGUGGGUAACCUGCCUUGUACAGGGGGAUAACAGUUGGAAACGGCUGCUAAUACCGCAUAAGCGCACAGCAUCGCAUGAUGCAGUGCGAAAAACUCCGGUGGUAUAAGAUGGACCCG